rnacentral:tRNA from 1 species
GCCGGCGUGGCGGAAUUGGUAGACGCGCGCGAUUCAAAAUCGCGUUCUUUCGAGAGUACCGGUUCGAUUCCGGUCGCCGGUA